GCUUUUGAUGAAUAUUUUUGUUGUUCUGGGUUUGUCUUGAUUUUGUUGCUGGGAUGAAAAAUAUGGCAGGGAAUUGAGGAGGUUGUUCAUAAUCCAUGGUUGCAAGGACACAUUUCAUACUGGUGGUUAUUGUUGCUAUCUUUAUCUUGUGGGUUCUCAUUGGACCAGGGGUCUGAUCGAAGUUCAGUUCAUCAGUGGAAGGGUACAGAUGCUGUUGUUUUGAGCUUUUUAUAGUAAAGGUGAGAAGCCGUAAGAAGCACACUUUUCGAUUGUUAUAUAUAAUGGCUUCAUCAUCGAGGACAAGGGAUCGGUUUAGUAUUGAAUUUCAACAAGUUGAGCAGAGUAUGAUUGACAAAGAGGUGUUGAAGGAGUACGUCGAUGGAGUUGGAAACCCAACACCUGAGGUAGAAAACCAGCUCAAGACCAAUUUGUCCUACCAGCGGGUCCUUCAGGCACGCCAGGGAGUGCCAUAUGAUCGUCUAAUCCGCGUUCAAUUGUGGCCUCCUUCUCCGCCCCGUGAUGAUUAUAGGGCAACUGUGAGGUAUAUAGAAUACACAAUAAGUCAACUUAAGAAUGGAAUCGUUUCACUACAGAUGGUAGAUUCGGCUAAGGAAACGGUACGCCGCCUUAGAUCGAAAGGAUAUUCCAGCUUAGAUGAGGAUGAAGCAAUCACUCUAAAGGACAGCAUUCACUUCCUUGGUAGGCUAGAAAGCACCCCCUCUCCCUUCAGGGAGAGGUUUCUUAACUUUGCUGAAGACAUCCCAAGCCGCGUCCGCUGCCUCCGUCAAAUGCAGGAAACAUUGAUUGAUCAGCCAAAUCUUGUAGAGCAAGAGAGACAAUGCAUAGCUGAAAUUCAAAAACAGAAUGCAUGCCCGCGCUCUAAGAAACCAACAGUUUGAUGAGGAAGAAGUGACGGUCAUUUGUGAGAAGGCUAAGAGAGAAGAGGAGAAAGAGGUUCUAAUCACCAGAUUGGAGGACAUUCGCUGCAAUGUGACUGAAAUUUCCACAGCCUAGUCUUAUAUAGAUGGUGGGAGGAUCUGAAAUUAAAGUCUGAACAUUUUGCUGCAAACUGACUUUUUAAUCUUGUAUUGGAUUGUUAGGAGUAUAUGGUUCCCACUUUCUAGUGAACUUUCUAACAUUUGGAUUGUAAUGUUUGACCGAGUUCCUCUACUGUUUUCUGAGAAAGAAAUGCAUAUAAGAUCACAAACUGGUCUUAUACUCUUAUGGCCCUGUAUAUUUUUGCACAUCUAUGAUAUAAUGUAGUAACAUUAUUUAUUCUUUGAGAGGUUCUAAGCAGUAUAAACGAGUAUAUAAAACUUUGUCCGAUAGGCAACUUUGGCCAAUGAUUAUACAGCAUCAAUCAACCGUGUGGUGUGGAGUCCUGAUGGUACUCUUUUUGGUGUUGCAGACUCUAAGCAUCUAGUUCACAUAUACUCCUAUCAUGGUGGUGAUGAUUUAAGAAAUCAUCUAGAGAUUGAGGCACAUGCUGGCAGUGUUAAUGAUCUUGCUUUCUCAAAUCCAAAACAAACAGCUCUGUGUUGUGACUUGUGGCGAGGAUAGGGUUAUCAAGGUGUGGGAUGCUGUCACUGGGGCUAAUCAGCAUACAUUUGAGGGCCACGAAGCACCUGUAUACUCGGUGUGUCCGUAUGUCAAGGAGCGUAUUCCAGUAAUAUUCAUUUCAUUUAUCAUGUUGAUAACAAUGUAGCAUGAAAAACUUGCUAUUUGUUUUUUUGGUUUUUGGUCCUAUCUCUGCUAUUGUGUUAUUGUGUGCACACUACUUUCCAGUCUUUGGGAUGCACGGAUGGAAAAAGCUACUCAAGGCAUAUAGAUUCAGGAUAUGAGUUGAUAAAUAUAAACCUUUGUACAGAUAUGUGAUCGAUCCAAGUUAGUCUUAUUCUUAGUAGAUGGGGACAAUAUGAAACAAAUUCUUAUCAUAAUAGAACAAACAAUUGGAAAUUGGAAUUGGGGGAUCCUAACAACAAUAAUUCCUAUGUUGUUACAGUUCGUCGUAAAUUGUAACUUUAGUUUCAUGUUUAAUAAAUUGCACAAUAUUGAUAAUUAUGUGUCUAAGUUCUAAUAUCCUACUAUAUUUCUUCUUUCCGGCCAGUUUAUUUACUCAGCAGCAACUGAUGGAAUAAUAUAGGCAUGGCUGUAUGAUGAUGUGGGCGCAAGAGUUGACUAUGAUGCGCCAGGACAUUCGAGUAUCACUAUGGCAUACAGUGCUGAUGGAACAAGGCUAUUCUUUUGUGGGACAAAUAACGAAGGAGAUUCAUACUUGGUGGAAUGGAGUGAAAAUGAAGGAGCUGUAAAGCGUACCUAUCAUGGUCUUAGGAGGCAGACUGUUGGGGUUGUGCAGUUUGAUAUAUACCACCAAGAAUCGAUUCUUGGCUACUGGUGAUAAGUUCAUGGUUAAAUUCUGGGACAUGGACAAUGUUGACCUUUUGACAAGUACAGAUGCAGAUGGUGGACUGCCGGCUUCUCCUUGUAUUAGAUUUAACAAAGAAGGAAUACUGUUAGCUGUCUCAACAAAUGACAAUGGCAUUAAAAUUCUAGCAAAUUCAGAUGGAAUUAGGUUGCUGAGAACAGUGGAGAGGAACAUUUGAUGCUUCCAGAGCUGCUUCUGUGGCUGUUGUGAAGGCCCCAGCAAUAGGAACAUUUGGAUCGUAUUAAUAGAGUAGCAACACCAAAUCACAGCAUCGCUCAAUUCAGGCUGGGGACUACUGACAGCGCUAAGCCAACUAUAAUUAAUAUUUCAGAAAGAGUGUAAUGCAAUCUAUUAUCUCCUCUACUUCCAAUUUCCAAGUAUAAACACCAGACAACCUUUCAAUAUGUAAGUCAGUACUUUUGGCAAAGUUCUAUAUGCAUGUAUCAGAAGCUUCAUUUCACUAAUGAGAU